GUCAGAACAAGUUUGUUUCAGUCGAGAUUAAUGCUACCGGUGGAAAUUUUGCUUUAUUGGAUAUUCAGGACAAAUAUGAAAAAAUGAAUCAUCAGCGUGCACAGUCCCUACUGCUAUCUCCAAUAUGUGUUGUGCCGAUUUUAUGGAACUCGAUCUAUAAUAAGACAUCAGAUAUAAGAAAACAAAUGAGGUUCCCUCCGUCCAUCUUGGUGAUAGCUUCCCGGGCGAUAAUGGAAUUGCGCUAGUGCUACAGCAAUGAGAAGCAGCAAACAUAUUUUGUACAAAGUUUUCUGACUCUAAAAAACUGUAAUAAAUA